GCCGGCGUGGCGGAAUUGGCAGACGCCCAGGACUUAAAAUCCUGUGGUCAGUGAUGACCGUACCGGUUCGACCCCGGUCGCCGGCA
rfam:Lachnospiraceae bacterium ACC2 genomic scaffold supercont1.1, whole genome shotgun sequence.